rnacentral:rRNA from 1 species
UACAUGGGGUGCAAACGUUGCUCGGAAUUAUUGGGCGUAAAGCGCGCGUAGGCGGUUACUUAAGUCGGAUGUGAAAGCCCUCGGCUUAACUGAGGAAGUGCACCCGAAACUGAGUAGCUAGAGUACGAAAGAGGGUCGCGGAAUUCCCGGUGUAGAGGUGAAAUUCGUAGAUAUCGGGAGGAACACCGGUGGCGAAGGCGGCUUCCUGGACCGACACUGACGCUGAGGCGCGAAAGCUAGGGGAGCAAACGGG